AUUGAACGCUGGCGGCAUGCCUUACACAUGCAAGUCGAACGGUAACAGGCCUUCGGGUGCUGCCGAGUGGCGUACGGGUGAGUAAUGCACCCGAACGUGCCCAGUGGCGGGCGAUAACGCAGCCAAAGCUGUGCUAAUAUCUCAUGUGAUCUGAGGUAGAGAGCGGGGGACCACGCAGCAAUGUUUGGCCUCGUGCUUCUGGAGCGGCCGAUGUCAGAUUAGGUAGUUGGCGGGGUAAAGGCCAACCAAGCCGACGAUCGGAAUCUGGUCUGAGAGGACGACCAGACACACUGGGAGUGAGACACGGCCGCGACUCCGACGCGAGGAAGCAGUGGGGAAUCUUAGGCGAUGGGGGAGAGCCUGAUCCAGGAAAGCCGCGUGAGGGAUGAAGGCGUUCGGGUUGGAAACCGCUGUUGGACGGAACGAAAAGACGCUGGCUAAUACGUGAGGCUAAUGACGGUACCGUAAGAAUAAGCACCGGCUAACUACGUG
rnacentral:rRNA from 1 species